UUUCCGUAGGUGAACCUGCGGAAGGAUCAUUAUUGUAUCACCGAGGUGGGCGGGCUGUCGGUGACCCUACCGCUCGUGGACAGCCGUAACACCUUACACACAUACAUCUCUCCAUUAUUUUUAUAACCGCGCGUUUCCUACUUCGGCUGUUUCGGAGGCGGCCGUACGUAUUCACCCAAACUUUUUUUGCAUUGUAGAUUGUAUUUUUAGUUUUUGAGAAUCCUUAAAACAUUCAACAAUCAAUAACGUAUCUCUUGCAUCUUGCAUCGAUGAAGAACA
rnacentral:misc_RNA from 1 species